GAUGAACGCUAGCGGCAGGCCUAAUACAUGCAAGUCGAACGAGAUUAAGAGGCUUGCUUCUUAUGAAAGUGGCGCACGGGUGCGUAACGCGUAUGCAACCUACCUUAAUCAGGGGGAUAGCCCUAAGAAAUUCGGAUUAAGACCGCAUAAAAACACAGGAUAGCAUUAUCCAAUGUUCAAAUAUUUAUAGGAUUAAGAUGGGCAUGCGUGUCAUUAGCUAGUUGGCGGGGUAACGGCCCACCAAGGCGACGAUGACUAGGGGAUCUGAGAGGAUGACCCCCCACACUGGUACUGAGACACGGACCAGACUCCUACGGGAGGCAGCAGUAAGGAAUAUUGGUCAAUGGAGGGAACUCUGAACCAGCCAUGCCGCGUGCAGGAAGACAGCCCUCUGGGUCGUAAACUGCUUUUAUUCGGGAAUAAACCUUUCUACGUGUAGGAAGCUGAAUGUACCGAAGGAAUAAGGAUCGGCUAACUCCGUG
rnacentral:rRNA from 1 species